GCAGUAGGGUGCCAUCAAGAGGUGUAUUUGGAAAUAUCCCUAAUACAGGAUCACUA
rnacentral:rRNA from 1 species